ACGAACGCUGGCGGCGUGCUUAACACAUGCAAGUCGAACGGAAAGGCCCCUUUGGGGGUACUCGAGUGGCGAACGGGUGAGUAACACGUGAGUAACCUGCCCUUGACUUCGGGAUAACUUCAGGAAACUGGGGCUAAUACCGGAUAGGAAUCCUUGCUGCAUGGUGGGGGUUGGAAAGCUUCGGCGGUUUUGGAUGGACUCGCGGCUUAUCAGCUUGUUGGGGGGGUAGUGGCUUACCAAGGCUUUGACGGGUAGCCGGCCUGAGAGGGCGACCGGCCACAUUGGGACUGGGAUACGGCCCAGACUCCUACGGGGGGCAGCGGUGGGGAAUAUUGCCCAAUGGGCGGAAGCCUGAUGCAGCAACCCCGCGUGCGGGAUGACGGCCUUCGGGUUGUAAACCGCUUUCAGCGGGGGCGAAGCUUGUGGUGACGGUACCGGCAAAAGAAGCCCCGGCAAACUACGG
rnacentral:rRNA from 1 species